ensembl:lncRNA
AAAACACAGGUUCUUAGGCUCCACGCAGGGGGGUGAUUCCACAGGUCUGGGUGAGGCCUAGUACUCGGCAUUUUCAGCAAGCCCCAGGGGAUUCUGAUGCCACAGAGCACUGGUGAUUCCAGUAUGUAUCUGCCUUUAAGAAUCACAACCUUCUCAUUUCUCCAGGUAGGUUUAAACAUUCCGAGGAAGGCAGUGCAAGAACAGCAGUGUUUCCUGGGCUGCGGAGGCCUGGCCACACCUGGCUUUAACUGACUUGCUUCACAGUCAUCAUUCCCCACUGGGUACCGGAGGCACUGGGCUGGGCGUUUUGCUUCAUCCUCACCCCCACCGGGAAAAGCUGAUGGUAUCCCUGUUUUAUAGACCACAAAUGGUCAAGUUACUUUCCAAGGUCAUAGAGCAAAGUGACUAUGUGGUGGUGCUGGCGCUCAAGUUGCUCACAGACCCUGGGAGAGACUAAUUUGUGCAAACCACUGGCAGCUCUGGGCAGAAUGAAGUCGACAGACCUGAACCUGGAGAGGUAAGUGCAAAGCGCCUGGAAAGCUCAGAGAAAGAAGCAAUGAAUGGCUCCUGGGGAUGGCAGAGGAGGCCCCAAGGGAGGUGGUGGCAUUUGAGCUGGACCUUAGUAGAUUAAUUCAGCUUUGACAUUCAGAGAAGGAGGGGAAAGAAUACCAGGCAGCGGAUACAGCGUGCGCGAAGUCACGGAGGUGGGAAAACAGAGUAGAAAUGGCCGGUGGACUGAUGCAGUAGAGGGUGGAUGGUGGGACAGGGGAGCAAUGACACGGGGCAGGUCAGUCCACGCCUCUGCACUUGCUGGCCACUGGGAAAUCACCGGAAAGAUCUGAAUGGGGAAAUGACAAGGCCCAUUUGGCUUUAGGAAGGUAACUCUGGGGACAGAAGCCUGGGUGGAGAUAUUAGACUCAGGCAGACGAGAACGGUGAGUCACUCUGGUUCCCUAGUCAGUUUGUUCGUUUCUAAAGUGGGGAGGACCGUUCCUCCCUGACAUCUGUCCCAGGCUUGUGGUGAAAAUGCAAGAUGCGAAAGUGUGUUGGUGAGCCCCAUGGACAGAGGGGGAGUCAGAAUCAGGGUGGUUUGGGGGUGUGUGUGUGUUGAGGUACCUUGGCUGGAGACCCCAGUGACAUGGCUGCAUGACACAGGGGCAGCCAGAGAAGGUACAGGACAAGUGUAGGCGGAAGCAUGUGCCAUCAGAAUCCAUAUCUGGGAGCGGGGAGGGAGAGGAGAGAGAGAGCACCAGUGAAAUACCAAAGCCUGACCUGAAGCGGAACUGCAAUUACCCUUUUUUUCCAUCUGAAUGGGGCUCAGAAGACAGAUUUCUCUUGCCUAGAGAACUUUAGGGACAGCUGUCCUGAGCCAGCAUCUUAUGGGGGUUUUGACCAGCACCAGCCUCUCCUCCAGCAUGUAGAUAAGCGUUGGAGAAACUGCAGCCAGGAGGGCUCAGGGCCCCUGUGAGAGUGACAGGAGCAGGACUGAGCCAGAGGGGUCUCUGAGGGUGUCCAGCCCUACUUCCUGCCUGAGCAGGGAUGGCCCCUGCAGUUUCCCCCGAGGGGGUUACCAUCACUAACCUCACCCCAGACCCACUCUAGCCCGAGUCAUUGUCAUUCUUCCGGCCCAGCUCCUUGGGGGCCAACUCUUAGCCCAGGCCAGCACCCUUAAGUCUCACAGCUCUAGGAAGUGAGUUUUUCAAUCCUUAGUUUCCACAUGAAGACAGUGAGCCUCAAAGAGUCCAUGCAACUAGCAUGUGGAAAAGCUGAGAUUCAGACGUAAAGCUGGGACUCUAAGGGCCCCUGGGCUUUCCCCCACUGUGCCACGCACCUCUCAGACAGGGUCGAGGUAUCCUUUGUAGACUAAACAUCUAGAGGUCAGAGCGUAAGAAGCUAGUUACAGAAGGGCAAGGUAUGAGCUGAUGAGCUCAUUGGAAAAUUCUUCUUGGAGAAAGCAGUGUGAUUCUGGAGGAGGGAAGGGGCAGGCCAUUCUGGAGGCGUUGGACUGUCUGGGCCCAAACUCUGGGCUAGCUCAGUUUCUCUAAGGGUGGGAGGCUGUCUUUUCAGAGAGACUCAGGCCUGGGUCUGGGGGAGUAAGUCCAGUCUUCUCCUCCUCCGUGGAUUCCUUCUGGGUCUGUGGGCAUUUGGUCUUCAGGAACCCACAAGAGCACCCUGUCUUAAGACACUUGAUGGCUACUGAUGCCACGUUCACACCCUACAGCCAUCAAUAUCAGGGGUGUCCAGUGUGUGAGCCUAACCCGCCAGGGAUGGUUGGGUCGGAUAAUUCACAUUGCUCAGUGACACACUGGCUUGAUGGUGGAAACUUCCUCAUUCAGUGGAGAAACCACACCUUUAUUUUACAUUUGUGUAACCAAAGGGCCCAUUCAGUCAUUUCUCCCAACAAAGGGCUAAAGAUCUCAGAGGAGCUUAACCUUGCCUGUGGAAUAACCACGGUUUCUUGUUCUCCUUUGGUUCUUCUUUUUUAAAAACCCUCCCACCUUCGCGUAACCUCACCAGUUCCAAGUGAAUCAGCCAUUCGAGUUACCUCUCCUCCAAAGCCGUAGCCUUCGUCGAGGCUCCAUCAGCUGUUAUGUUACUGACCAAUAAGUGCCCUGUCCCCCAGGCUCCCAUUCUCUUGACGGCAGCCCAUUUAUCUCCAUCCCACCCCAUCUGGGGCCAGAUUUGUCCUUCUUGCUUUUACUUCAGGUUUAAAUUAAUUUGUUGUUUUGAAAAAUCACAGUCACCCAGGAAUGUAAUAUGGAGCAUCAGAGAUCUCUACAAAGUUUGUCAUGAACAGCUGCAGCCCUGAUCCAUCUCCAAGGGUAACCACUUUCAACUCUUGAAGCUGAUUCUUUGGAACAUUCACUUUCAUAUCUCUAAGCAACAUUUCAGAUGGUUUUGUCUUGAUCUUCACAGUUUUAGGAAUAAUUUAUUGAUUCCCUGCCCUGAGAGAUGAGGAAUUCUUUCACCACCCUCAUUCAUCAAAUCUACUCCCUUGCUACUAUCUUCCCAAUACUGUAAUAUAUGAUGAUUUGAGUUGCUUCAUUAUUUAUUGUUGACCUUGUAUAACCAUGAAAAUACUAUGACCAUCAGAGCCACAUGAUGGACUAGAUUACUUUUUCCCAUCUUUUCCUUGAAAUUUGCAUAGUAAUCAGCUCAUGGGCUGUUUCAGGCAUCACAGCCUAAUAAUUUGGCUCAACUAACCUCAGGCACUGACAUCACAAAACCAAACUCUCAGUUUCUUCUUGUGAAACAUCUGCAGUCAGACAAAUGGUGACUUUACCAGCAAGACCUGGU